AAAGGUGUAGCUCAGUGGUAGAGCUCAUGUUUAGCAUCCUUUCGUCUCUGGGUUUGAUUCCCAGUGUCAUGA
rnacentral:tRNA from 1 species